rnacentral:lncRNA from 1 species
GAUGCUAGCUGGUUAAAGCUCAAGGUUUUGUGCCAAGCUCCUAGCUUUAUUUUGACUCUAUCUCCUUUGUAGUCAUUGUUGAAAACAAUCCCAUUUUUCCCAGAAAGGAGGGCUGUAGCUGGGCCCCUGCUGACUCGUGGUGGGGUAGAGAUCCCUGCCCAGGUCCCUGAGGAACAGUGCCUGCCGGUUUUGCUCCUGAAGAGCUGAGAGCUGUGAAGUUAAGCUGCAGCAAAGAAGCCUGAGUUUGGCUACUGCAAAAGGUGCUUUGGAGGAGGCUUUGGGAGGCUGCAGGCUCCCAGCUGCUGGUGUUGCUACACUCAGUCAGCUGCAACCAUCAUCCCCAUCAGUGAGAUCUGCUGGCAGGGACAGCUGCUGGACUGCUGCUUUUUGUUGUCCUCUGCCUCUGUGGACAAGAUGGCAGGUCCUGGAUCUUUGAUCAGUACUUUUUGUGGAGACCUUCUGUGCUGAUGAAGUCACACAAUGUUUUAGUGCACCGAAUCUCUGCAGACCCCAAGCCUUGUGUGCCCCAAGACCCUGCAAUUCUGUGAUUCUAUAACUAAAUGUGGGCCAGACUGAAAAUUGUUCCUGCUAGCAGUGUUCUGGCACACAACUACUUGCAAACUGGGGAAGGUGAGGAGCUGGAAAAAAGACAAACAAAAAACACCCCCAAAGACCCAAGCAUAGAAAACAUAUUUUGUGGAAGGAAAAAGGAUGCCCCAAUGCUUUUGUGGACUGAAAUCUAGCAAGUUUUCUUACAAUUGUGUGCUGGUGCCUGUGGCAAGGCCAUGAGACAGUGCUCUCCCAGGUAUUGCCUUAAGAACCUUUGUCUCUUUCUGUCUGUGCCCUUUAAAACAUCUCCAAUGUAAAGUAAUGCAAAAUUAGAGGAGUUUAUGUUGACAGAACUCAGACUGUUUAUGCCUUAGGAAGUGCUCGCUUUGAAGUGUAAGUGCUUUUAAUCAGAGACUUUAUGUGAUGAGAGACUUUAUCAAAAUCCAGGUCAAAGAUGUUGCAGUGAAAUACGGUCCCCCCGUAGUCUGGUAUCUCCUUUAGAAUCUGUUGGUGUCCACCUGCUUGCACAACAGCUGGAAAAGGGCAAAGAAGCAGUGAGCAAUACUGUGUUACUUGCUUUGCAGUGAGCUCCUGGUGUAUCCAAGCUUAUGGGAGCAAGAAGCAAAUAACAGUGUUAAUGUAGCUAAGUACUGUACAGAACUCCCCAUAAAUCCUAUCAGCUUUAAUCUCUGGCCUCUCUGUUAUUACGUUAAUGGAUCUCCUUUGAACGAAGCCUCUACCCUCCAUCAUUUCUUGUUCUAACAGUAAAAGGCAAGAAAUUCAUUAUGUACUUGUAUUUGCUAUUAACUGGUGCAGCAGCUGUAAGAAACACGAUGUAUUUAUUUGCAAGUACCAUGGAAUAAGACUAAAUUCAAAAGAAAUCUCCGAUAA